rnacentral:lncRNA from 1 species
CUCCAAUCAAGUUGUAGAAACAUCUCAAGGUUGAUCAAUGGAAACAGGAUGCACCUGAGCAAAAUUUUGAGUCUCACAGCAACGGGUCUGAAUACUUUUGUAAAUAAGGUAUUUCUGCUUUUAUAAAUUUGCAAAAAUGUUUAAAACCUGUUUUUGCUUCGUCAUUAUGGGUGAUUGUGUGUAGAUUUAUGAGGGAAAAACAUAUUUAAUCCAUUUUAGAAUAAGGCUGUAAUGUAACAAAAUGUGAAAAAAGUACUGGGGUCUGAGAACUUUCCAAACACCAUGUAUGUACAGUUAACUGCCAAAAUAAAGGAAACACCAAGAUAAAGUGUCUUAAUAGGGGUAAUAGAGUGCCUUAAUAGGGGUUAAUAGGGGUUAAUAGGGUGUAUUAAUAGGGGUUAAUAGGGGCUAAUAGGGGUUAAUAGAGUGUAUUAAUAGGGGUUAAUAGAGUGUCUUAAUAGGGGUUAAUAGAGUGCCUUAAUAGGGGUUAAUAGGGGUUAAUAGGGUGCCUUAAUAGGGGUUAAUAGGGGUUAAUAGGGUGUAUUAAUAGGGGUUAAUAGAGUGCCUUAAUAGGGGUUAAUAGAGUGCCUUAAUAGGGGUUAAUAGAGUGUAUUAAUAGGGGUUAAUAGGGGCUAAUAGGGGUUAAUAGGGUGUAUUAAUAGGGGUUAAUAGAGUGUCUUAAUAGGGGUUAAUAGAGUGUAUUAAUAGGGGUUAAUAGAGUGUAUUAAUAGGGGUUAAUAGGGGUUAAUAGGGGUUAAUAGGGUGUAUUAAUAGGGGUGAAUAGAGUGCCUUAAUAGGGGUUAAUAGAGUGCCUUAAUAGGGGUUAAUAGAGUGUAUUAAUAGGGGUUAAUAGGGGCUAAUAGGGGUUAAUAGGGUGUAUUAAUAGGGGUUAAUAGAGUGUCUUAAUAGGGGUUAAUAGAGUGUAUUAAUAGGGGUUAAUAGGGGUUAAUAGGGUGUAUUAAUAGGGGUUAAUAGGGGCUAAUAGGGGUUAAUAGGGUGUAUUAAUAGGGGUUAAUAGAGUGUCUUAAUAGGGGUUAAUAGAGUGUCUUAAUAGGGGUUAAUAGAGUGUAUUAAUAGGGGUUAAUAGGGGUUAAUAGGGGUUAAUAGGGUGUAUUAAUAGGGGUUAAUAGAGUGUCUUAAUAGGGGUUAAUAGAGUGCCUUAAUAGGGGUUAAUAGAGUGUAUUAAUAGGGGUUAAUAGGGGCUAAUAGGGAUUAAUAGGGGUUAAUAGAGUGUCUUAAUAGGGGUUAAUAGAGUGUCUUAAUAGGGGUUAAUAGAGUGUAUUAAUAGGGGUUAAUAGGGGUUAAUAGGGGUUAAUAGGGUGUAUUAAUAGGGGUUAAUAGGGGUUAAUAGAGUGUAUUAAUAGGGGUUAAUAGAGUGUCUUAAUAGGGGUUAAUAGAGUGUAUUAAUAGGGGUUAAUAGGGGUUAAUAGGGUGUAUUAAUAGGGGUUAAUAGGGGCUAAUAGGGGUUAAUAGGGUGUAUUAAUAGGGGUUAAUAGAGUGUCUUAAUAGGGGUUAAUAGAGUGUCUUAAUAGGGGUUAAUAGAGUGUAUUAAUAGGGGUUAAUAGGGGUUAAUAGGGUGUAUUAAUAGGGGUUAAUAGGGGCUAAUAGGGGUUAAUAGGGUGUAUUAAUAGGGGUUAAUAGAGUGUCUUAAUAGGGGUUAAUAGAGUGUCUUAAUAGGGGUUAAUAGAGUGUAUUAAUAGGGGUUAAUAGGGGUUAAUAGGGGUUAAUAGGGUGUAUUAAUAGGGCUUAAUAGGGGUUAAUAGAGUGUAUUAAUAGGGGUUAAUAGAGUGUCUUAAUAGGGGUUAAUAGAGUGUAUUAAUAGGGGUUAAUAGAGUGUAUUAAUAGGGGUUAAUAGAGUGUAUUAAUAGGGGUUAAUAGAGUGUAUUAAUAGGGGUUAAUAGAGUGUAUUAAUGGGGGUUAAUAUGGGUUAAUAGAGUGUAUUAAUAGGGGUUAAUAGAGUGUAUUAAUAGGGGUUAAUAGAGUGUAUUAAUAGGGGUUAAUAGAGUGUCUUAAUAGGGGUUAAUAGAGUGUCUUAAUAGGGGUUAAUAGAGUGUAUUAAUAGGGGUUAAUAGAGUGUAUUAAUAGGGGUUAAUAGAGUGUAUUAAUAGGGGUUAAUAGAGUGUAUUAAUAGGGGUUAAUAGAGUGUAUUAAUAGGGGUUAAUAGGGGUUAAUAGAGUGUAUUAAUAGGGGUUAAUAGAGUGUAUUAAUAGGGGUUAAUAGGGGUUAAUAGGGGUUAAUAGAGUGUAUUAAUAGGGGUUCAUUUUCAUUCAUUUUUAGUCAUUUAGCAGACGCU